rnacentral:rRNA from 1 species
UACGUAGGUGGCAAGCGUUGUCCGGAAUUAUUGGGCGUAAAGCGCGCGCAGGCGGUCCUUUAAGUCUGAUGUGAAAGCCCCCGGCUCAACCGGGGAGGGUCAUUGGAAACUGGGGAACUUGAGUACUGAAGAGGAAAGCGGAAUUCCACGUGUAGCGGUGAAAUGCGUAGAGAUGUGGAGGAACACCAGUGGCGAAGGCGGCUUUCUGGUCAGUAACUGACGCUGAGGCGCGAAAGCGUGGGGAGCAAACAGG